rnacentral:rRNA from 1 species
UACGUAGGGUGCGAGCGUUAAUCGGAAUUACUGGGCGUAAAGCGUGCGCAGGCGGUUGUGCAAGACAGAUGUGAAAUCCCCGGGCUCAACCUGGGAAUUGCAUUUGUGACUGCACGGCUAGAGUGUGUCAGAGGGGGGUAGAAUUCCACGUGUAGCAGUGAAAUGCGUAGAGAUCCGGAGGAACACCGACGGCGCAGGCAGCGUCCUGGCCGCUUGCUGACACUGAGGCACGAAAGCUGGGGGAGCAAACAGG